GUGCUUGCAUUAGCAGCACAUAUAUUAAAACUGUAAUGACACAGAGAUUAGCAUGGCCCCUACACAAGGAUGAUAAAUUCCUGAAGUGUUUCAUAUUUAU
rnacentral:snRNA from 1 species